rnacentral:rRNA from 1 species
GAUGACGCUAGCUACAGGCUUACACAUGCAAGUCGAGGGGCAGCAUGGUCUUAGCUUGCUAAGGCCGAUGGCGACCGGCGCACGGGUGAGUAACACGUAUCCAACCUGCCGUCUACUCUUGGACAGCCUUCUGAAAGGAAGAUUAAUACAAGAUGGCAUCAUGAGUCCGCAUGUUCACAUGAUUAAAGGUAUUCCGGUAGACGAUGGGGAUGCGUUCCAUUAGAUAGUAGGCGGGGUAACGGCCCACCUAGUCUUCGAUGGAUAGGGGUUCUGAGAGGAAGGUCCCCCACAUUGGAACUGAGACACGGUCCAAACUCCUACGGGAGGCAGCAGUGAGGAAUAUUGGUCAAUGGGCGAGAGCCUGAACCAGCCAAGUAGCGUGAAGGAUGACUGCCCUAUGGGUUGUAAACUUCUUUUAUAAAGGAAUAAAGUCGGGUAUGGAUACCCGUUUGCAUGUACUUUAUGAAUAAGGAUCGGCUAACUCCGUGCCAGCAGCCGCGGUAAUACGGAGGAUCCGAGCGUUAUCCGGAUUUAUUGGGUUUAAAGGGAGCGUAGAUGGAUGUUUAAGUCAGUUGUGAAAGUUUGCGGCUCAACCGUAAAAUUGCAGUUGAUACUGGAUAUCUUGAGUGCAGUUGAGGCAGGCGGAAUUCGUGGUGUAGCGGUGAAAUGCUUAGAUAUCACGAAGAACUCCGAUUGCGAAGGCAGCCUGCUAAGCUGCAACUGACAUUGAGGCUCGAAAGUGUGGGUAUCAACAGGAUA